rnacentral:lncRNA from 1 species
CCUGUGUAAUCAAAGUCAAAGCAUUAAGACCCCUGGAAUCGAAUCGUGUCUCACACCUCAACCUCUUUUUCUUUUCUUCUUUGUUCGUCAUCUUCGUCACGAAUCGACCCCCUGCAUCAAAAACUCCCAAUCCAUGGUUGUCGAAACUCCAGCUGUGGAUUUGCAGUCAUCUUCGCCGGUAAACCAUGGCCGUCGUCUUCAAUCGCCAGCGGUGGAUUUUGAGUAACAGUAGCUAUUAAAGAAGUCGACAAAAUCAACCUCUGGAAAGGAUAAAUGGGCAUUCGAAUCUCAAGUGAAUUCCACCUUCACGGUGAGUUCUUUGCCUACCAUUUGAAGCAAUUUUUUUACCGCAUUCCAACACAAUUGAACCCCUCUGAUGUCCAAUUUCUCCAGGAACGACGAUGUCUUGCUCGCGGUUGUGGGCGGUGGAUCUUAAAAACACGAUGGUGGUGGUGCAAGAGGGGUGAAUUGAUGGUGAUGGGCGGAGCGGAAGAAAUGGUGGAUGGAGCUGUGAGUUGGUCAGUUGGGUGGGGGGUAAAUUGGUGUGCUGUGAAGAAGACG